CCUACGGGAGGCAGCAGUGGGGAAUCUUGCGCAAUGGGGGCAACCCUGACGCAGCCAUGCCGCGUGAAUGAUGAAGGCCUUAGGGUUGUAAAGUUCUUUUGCCCGUGACGAUGAUGACGGUAACGGGAGAAUAAGCUCCGGCUAACUUCGUGCCAGCAGCCGCGGUAAUACGAAGGGGGCUAGCGUUGUUCGGAAUUACUGGGCGUAAAGCGCGCGCAGGCGGUUCGAUAAGUUAGGGGUGAAAUCCCUGGGCUCAACCCAGGAAUGGCCUUUAAGACUGUCGAGCUAGAGGACGAGAGAGGUGAGUGGAAUUCCCAGUGUAGAGGUGAAAUUCGUAGAUAUUGGGAAGAACACCAGUGGCGAAGGCGGCUCACUGGCUCGUUUCUGACGCUGAGGCGCGAAAGCGUGGGGAGCAAACAGGAUUAGAUACCCUGGUAGUCCACGCCCUAAACGAUGAGUGCCAGGUGUCGGGAAGCUUAGCUUCUCGGCGCCGCAGCUAACGCCUUAAGCACNCNCGNGGNGACGCGCGAGUAACGUAAGUAGAUAGNGNGNGAGAGNGACGACGACGACGACGAGGAGAG
rnacentral:rRNA from 1 species